GACGAACGCUGGCGGCGUGCCUAACACAUGCAAGUCGAGCGGAGUCGAUCGACGGAAGCCUUCGGGCGGAAGAUGGUUGACUUAGCGGCGGAUGGGUGGGUAACGCGUGGGCAACCUGCCUCGAAGACCGGGAUAACAGACCGAAAGGGCUGCUAAUACCGGAUGUGGUCAAGGAUCCGCAUGGAUCUUUGAUUAAAGGGGAAACCCGUUUCGAGAUGGGCCCGCGUCCUAUCAGCUAGUUGGUGAGGUAAAAGCUCACCAAGGCGACGACGGGUAGCCGGCCUGAGAGGGUGACCGGCCACACUGGAACUGAGACACGGUCCAGACUCCUACGGGGGGCAGCAGUGGGGAAUCUUCCACAAUGGGCGAAAGCCUGAUGGAGCGACGCCGCGUGAGCGAAGAAGGCCUUCGGGUUGUAAAGCUCUGUCUGGAGGGACGAAGGAAGUGACGGUACCUCCGGAGGAAGCCACGGCUAACUACGUG
rnacentral:rRNA from 1 species